rnacentral:rRNA from 1 species
UACGUAGGGUGCGAGCGUUGUCCGGAAUUACUGGGCGUAAAGAGCUCGUAGGUGGUUUGUCGCGUUGUUCGUGAAAACUCACAACUCAAUUGUGGGCGUGCGGGCGAUACGGGCAGACUGGAGUACUGCAGGGGAGACUGGAAUUCCUGGUGUAGCGGUGGAAUGCGCAGAUAUCAGGAGGAACACCCGUAGCGAAGGCGGCAUUCUGGGCCGGUACUGACGCUGAGGAGCGAAAGCGUGGGGAGCAAACAGG